UAAGGCGAUUAUGCUGAUGGUGCUCCACCCGUUCCCAUUCCGAACACGGAAGUGAAAUCCAUCAAGGCCGAUGAUACUAGCUUCGUGCUGGGAAAGUAGGUAGUCGCCUUAU
rnacentral:rRNA from 1 species